ensembl:lncRNA
UUUUUUUUUUUAGGUCAACAUUUUCUUCUGGCAGACUGAGCCUGAAGUGCACUUUAUUUCCCUUUAAUUUAACAGCUCCAGCAGCUUUUCCAGUUAAAUCGACUGUUCAUUAUUGAGCCCAUUUAUGAAGGGCUGUGCAGUGCAGUUUAAUGAAUCCCUGGCACAAAGCUCCCUUUCAGUGUAGGGAAAGAAUAGCAGCCUAUUUAGGUCCUGUAGGGCUGUAUGUCAAAGGCUGCCUAUAAUACUUGUCAGGGAAGGGCAGAAAUUCCCACUGAUAUAAGAAUGUGCAAGAAAUCAACUUUCACAACCAACUUGCCGAUUAAGACGCGAUCAGGAAAUGAGUCUGUAGGUUGGGAGCGGUGACACCUGUUUGGGCAGCCCGAUUUUCCCAUAACUCGAUAACCAUAUGGGCCAUACAACCAGGAAGGGGGGGAAGAAAAUAAGGCCUCCCUCCCUUGUUGCAGAGAUUUUGUUACUUUCAUGCUGCCUUCUUGAUGCCACGAUGAAAGGAAAAUGGGUGUUGUGAAUUGUGAGAGCUGGGCUCAGUGCUGGAUUUGGUUUGCCUUCCCUAGGAGAAGGUUUUGCUAGUGGUCAUAAAAUCAUGGAACAAUCUGGGUUGGAAGGGACUGCAAAGAUCACCUGGUUCCAACCUCCCUGUAGUGAGUGGGGACAUCUUCAACAAGACCAGCUUGCCCAAAGCCUCAUCCAACCUGGCCUUGAAUACUUCCAGGGAUGGGGAAUCAACCACCUCUCUGGGCAACUUGUGCCAGUGUUUCACAACUCGCAUCAUAAGACAUUUCUGCCUUCUAUCAGCCUGAAUCUAUUUUCUUUCAGUGAUGAGGCACAGCAUGAGAUGUUUCUUUCAGGCUGAAUCCCAGUGGGAUCCUGCUCUGGCAUGGCAGAGCAUUUACCCUGGGGCUGGACACUGAGAUGGGUGGGCCAUGAGAAUCAGGAGGGCAGUCAGAGCUUCUGUGACUGGCUCCAGUGAGGAGCUGCUCCACAGAAUUGCUGGUAUUGUAACGUAGCCCGCGACUAUGCAAGGCUUCCUGGCUUAUAGAAACUGCUCUCCUUUCUGUCCAGCCUGAUCUGCAAGGAUAACAAAUCAUUCUUCCUAUGAAGGGCUUGAUCAUGUGGCCAUGAGAUCAAUAUAUGGCCAGAGCAAAGCGCGAGUGAUAGGGCAUGCUCCUACCUCCUUUGAUUCUCAGAGUGACUGUGCCCUGGUUUUCUAAAAAAGCCAAGCUUGAUGCCAAGGGCAUUACUCUCAGAAGCCUUGGUUCAACCCCCAGAGGUGGUUGAGAUGCUGCUCCCUAUAACAAGCAAGAAAAUGAACAAAACCAGAUACAUUUCCUACACAAAAGGGGGCAAAAAAUAGCAGUACAACCCCUGGAGCCCAUUAGUAAGCACUGAGCACUCUCCUGUGGGAUGAAGGUUUGGGGUGGUGGAAGCAAUUCUGCAGCCACUUUACUCACCCCAGUCUGUUAGGGGUAAAGGGGAGGGAAAAGGACAUCUGGUCCAAAAUUUUCCCUGGGGUUUGGGCUAUUUUGUGAGUCUAAACCCAGCAUUUCCUGGACAUUAGACCCUGCUAGUGAGCUGAGGUGGAUAGCUGCACCUGAGGAUCACCACAAGUGGGCUGAGCAUCAGCAUCCUGAAAGAGCACAGGCAGAAGACAAGCAGGCUCAUACAGCUGCUAGAAAAGAGAUAUUUUUCAGGAAUAAUCAAACUACUAUUUCCUUGAAAAAAAAUCAAGUUUCUUUACAAGUUGUUGACAUCAUGUGGCUUAGCAAAUUUCCCUCCAGGCAUUGCCCAACUUGGGGUAAUCAGCUCUGCCUGAGAGAACACAGAGAAUAAGCAUGUUUAAUGCAAUUAUGAAGGCUUUCUAAAUCUCCAGAUCUGGUUGAGAAUAUGUAAAUUCAGCUGCUUAGCACAACUGAAUGCAAACUUUCCUUUGCAUGCCUGACAAUUGUUUUAAUACUCUCCGAGUUUUAGGAGGUAAUAAAGUCUCCCACUAAACCGUAGCUGAGCUCUCAAAGCUGUUUAAUUGAAUGAAUUCAGCCUUACAGAAGAGAAGCUGGGGCUUUCAGCUCCUUUUUAUCUGAGCCACCGGAUAUUUAUCCACUCUGCAUAUAAUGCCACCCAGACUCAUUAACAAACCCUUUAGACAAGCUGCAGAAUAUUGCUGCUACCAUGCUGAAGCAGAUACUAAUUUGAGGACAACUUCAUUGCAGCUCUGUUUGAAUAAUUUCGUGUUGCUCAGAUAAGAAACAGUCGCAGACUGUCUACACAUCCCGUGAAGGGUAGUGACCUCCAUUUUCUAGACCCAUGUGCACUUCAAAGUGGCCUCACAGGGUUUGUAAAACUAUCUAGUGAGCACACAGGGGAUGUAUAUGUUGUUCUUUAUAUUUUCCCAUCAAUAAGGGAGCUUGGAGCAGGCUGCAAAGCUUGACAGGGCUUGACAGGGCCUGAGGGUAACAGCUCGGAUCGUUAAUCCCUGUCAGUUGUAUUCGAGCUAAGUAGUUUAAAUCCACCUUCUAUGUAGACAUACUCAUUCUGACAUGGAGAGAUACAUAGACUUCCCAUAGCCCUCUGCCUACCAGGGUUUUUUUUGCUUCAAUUACACAGUUACACUCAGAGCAAGUCCCAAAAUAUGAGACUCUGGAAGAUUCCAGCUGAGCAAGUUUUGCAAAAGAGACCCGGUCCAGAUGGGCUGACACCAGAGCCAAGGCUGUGCCUGGGACUGUGAGGUUCUGCCUGCCGCUGGGACCCUGCAGAGACCCACUGAGAUGCUGGUGAGAGAUCAAGAAAAUCAGCAAUCUUAUUUUGUAGAGGAUAUUGAGCCUCCUUUUCCUCCCACAAAAUAUGUGCUUUCUCCUGUUUUCUUUUUGCAAUACUUGCUUUGCAUUCAACAAGUAUUUCAAACCACACUGAGGUGAAUUUGGCUGGUUUUUCCAUUUUACCACUAAUUACAGUCCAAGGAGCCUGUCUCAUUUUCCUUCUGCAGUUUUGCUUUCUGUUUUUCCCUUCAAUACAAAUCUGCUGCAUUUCUAAUGAACUGAUGCAGACCAUGAAAACUCACUUUACUUAAUUCCAAAUCAGAUAUGGAUCUUCAUUCAAAUUUGGACAUAUAAAAGCAUUGAACAUAAAUCUGGAGCUGGUUUGAGGGC